AGGGGAUUGGUUUGAGGCAGAUAAUCUUUGUAACUAUUGGUCAUCAGAACUGGAGAGGAGGGGGGCUGUUUAUCCUUGGUGGCUUCAACAGAAUAUUACAGAAUUGCGUUAUGAAGUUCAUACACUCACAUCUUUAGGUUAGUGUUAGAUAACGAUCGUUACACAAUAGCCCUUUCGUUUUUGUUUUUUUCGAUAAACGUUUCGUGAUUUAUUCACUGUCAAUGAAGAUGGUGAAUUGAUACGAUUCCUGUAGGUUUAGGUUAGUCUAUGCAAGAUUAGGUAUAAUGACAAGAUACAAGCGCACCAAAUGACCUUAAAUCUCCCAUAAUUUAACCUAGUGCAGUUCCAACGUGCACAGUUAACUAAUGCAGCCUGCGCAGCUAUAGGCUCCCAACACCUCUUGCACUAAACCAAUUGGUGGAUCUAGCGCGGCUUGUGCAGGAAUAACAAUACUACGCAUGUAUUUUUGGAGACUUUAUGGGACUCGAAACGAUCCGAACAGUGAAGGGGUAAAACCAGGAACGGUGUCAACAACCUUUCUGAACCAUGGCACGGGGAUAUUUAUGAAUGCUCUGAGAGACAACAUCGGGGAAGUGUUUUCUUCCCCUUCUUGAAAGGAAAAGGCUGUUGCCACAGUGUGAUACUGGUGGUGGCUGGCUGCUUCCUGGUGUGCCGUGCGGAAGCUCCUUUGUUCACACUGCUGCCUUCUGGCUGCUCUCGGGCCGCCACUGCUUUCCUGUGAAAGCACCCAGCUUCAAAUUGGAAAGUUAAAAGUUGUCCGCAUGUCAUUAUGUGUAUGUUAUUUUCGUCCAAAUAAAAGCCUGAGCCCUUGCCUGACCUGUAGUUGUUUUUAACAAAGUGUACGAAACCCAGAGUUGAUGCAUUUAAAAUGCCAUCCUUUUUGCACAUUAUUAUCAAUUUUUUUGUACCCACACCCACAACUUCUGGGUGCUGAGGUGUUGAAACAAGACACUGUUAACAGUUUGACAAAGGAAAACAGCAAAUUGGAGUAUAAAAACAUCAGAAUAUGUGUUCUAUCACUUAGGGCUAUUUGUAAUAAAAUCAAUGUUCUCAAUCCAAUGUUCUCUCUGAGAAUGCUCUGUCUAUUUUUUGUUUGCUAUCAUUGCUUUUAAA
ensembl:lncRNA